UUUUAGUUUGCUUGCAAACUGAAGAUGGCGACCGGCGCACGGGUGAGUAACACGUAUCCAACCUGCCGAUAACUCCGGAAUAGCCUUUCGAAAGAAAGAUUAAUACCGGAUGGCAUACGAAUAUCGCAUGAUAUUUUUAUUAAAGAAUUUCGGUUAUCGAUGGGGAUGCGUUCCAUUAGUUUGUUGGCGGGGUAACGGCCCACCAAGACUACAAUGGAUAGGGGUUCUGAGAGGAAGGUCCCCCACAUUGGAACUGAGACACGGUCCAAACUCCUACGGGAGGCAGCAGUGAGGAAUAUUGGUCAAUGGGCGCGAGCCUGAACCAGCCAAGUAGCGUGAAGGAUGAAGGCUCUAUGGGUCGUAAACUUCUUUUAUAUGGGAAUAAAGUUUUCCACGUGUGGAAUUUUGUAUGUACCAUAUGAAUAAGGAUCGGCUAACUCCGUGCCAGCAGCCGCGGUAAUACGGAGGAUCCGAGCGUUAUCCGGAUUUAUUGGGUUUAAAGGGAGCGUAAGUGGAUUGUUAAGUCAGUUGUGAAAGUUUGCGGCUCAACCGUAAAAUUGCAGUUGAAACUGGCAGUC
rnacentral:rRNA from 1 species